AAUUAGAAUAAAUAGAUGCUCAAAAAGAGAAAGCAUAGAUUAAAAGAAAGUUUUGCAAGGGAAAAAUAGGAUAAAAAUACCAAUUGAGAAAUCUAAAUAUACUAAAUCAGCAGUCACUUUUCCAAUAACUGAUGCAUUUAGUGAUUGACACAUCAGUUUAUUACUAUUUUUUUAUUCUUUCAUUUUCACGCAGGAUUUUUAUGUGUCGUUUUUAGUUAACUUUGUUUCUUUCUCAAACGAUUUUCUCUUUCAUCCCCACGAUCUCCACAUCUCCACUUUCUCUCUUCCAAAAACUCCAUGACUACUGUGUAAAAUCUCAAAGAUGGGUUUCUCAACAUCAUUAAUCGAUUACUCAGAAAUCAGGUACUUUGUUCAUCUCAAUGAACCAAUUUCUUUUUUCUUCCUGACAAAGACGAAACGCACCCUAAGAGCUCUAUCUUGCAUUAGGGAAAUCGUAUUCGUGAAUAAAUCCCCUUUGUUAACCAUCUUCUAUUUCUGUUUGUAAUUUUGUUUUAUAUAUAUAGAAUUCUCCAUAGAUCCGAAAAUCAUAUAUCCUUCUUCUAGAUUUCUAUGGCUUUUUUUUUUUU
rnacentral:sRNA from 1 species